AGUACAAAGCAGAAGAAAAGAGGGAAUUAGGUGCUGGCCUGGGCCUCUGAGUCAGGUAGGCAGCCACUGGGAAGAGCUGGGAGAGUCUAGACUAAAAGCAGUAAUAAGAGGAGGCCCAGGUCCAUCAUUGUGAAAAUCAAUCAGUCUUAAAAGCUACACCAAACUCCACAAGAUGAUAGAAAUUCAUAAUUCUAUGUUACUGGUGGGGAAACUACAGCCCAGGAUGGAGGAAGGUAGGGAAGGAUGGAAGGAUGGUGGUCUCACUCUGUCACCCUGGGUAGAGUGCCAUGACAUCAUAGCUCACAGCAACCUCAAACUCCUGGACUCAAGUGAUCCUCUUGCCUCAGCCUCCCAAGUAGCUGGGCUAUUUUUAGAAAUAGCCUUGCUCUUGUUGAGGCUAGUCUUGAACUCCUGAGCUCAAGCAGUCCAGCUGCCUCCUCAGCCUCCCAAAGUGCUACCCUGUCUCCCCGAAAAUAAGACAGUGUCUUAUUUUAAGGUGUGCUCCCAAAGAUGCGCUAGGUCUUAUUUUCAGGGGAUGUCUUAUCUUUCCGGUUAGUAGGUCUUAUUUUCGGAGGAUGUCUUAUUUUUGGGGAAACAGGGUAGGAUUAUAGGCCUAAACCACUGUAUCCAGUCAAGUGGUCAGCUUUAAUUAACCCUUUUAGCACCAGUGGCAGGCUAGUCUGAUUGCUUUGUCUGUCCUGUCUCUGUCCUGGGCAGCUCAGUAGACCUAAGGCUGGGGUGGGAUCUGCCACUUUGUCUUUGGAAAGAGAGAGGACACCCUGUGGGGUGUGGCCCAAAGGUAAAUGUGGUGCAUUUCAAUGCUGUCUUCCUUCACUCUUGUCUGUUUUAUGUUACCUUCUACAAGCCCAUGAGGAAGCUUGAAUUUUUAACUAUUCCUUAGAACUGUUUCCUUCUCUUUUCUCCCUUUACCCAGUUGUUCUCCUGGGGCUGGAUGCCUGAUAGCACCUUUUCCUAUAGAAAGCCAAUUGCCUUACUCAGGUCUGAAGCUUCAACCUGCAGCUCCAAGGAGGGAGAGAGGGUUCUAGGCACUCUCUUAUAUGGGAAUAAACAGGACAGACUCAAAUCUCAGCUCUUCUACUCACUGGGUGACUUCAAACCAGUCCCCAAUGAGAUAAUGCACACCCCAGGCACUUGGUCAACAUGGCUGUUGUGAUGAAUUGGGGGUCUGUAGCAGUGGAGCCCUGUCCUGAGGCACUUUCCCUGCUGCCUGCUGCUCAGUUCUCUGCAGGGGUGGGCUUGGCAACUAUAAGCAAGGCUCCCAGGCUCCCAGGGAUGAUCCUAAUGAACUUCUGAUUUGUUUCCUUUGGCUACUUGCUGACCAGUUUGGGACUUUGCAGUUUGGGGUGUUAUGAUGUUGGGUUUUCGUUCUUUUGGGAAUAUUUCUUGCCACCAGCUAUUAGAGUCUCAAGCUGUCGCCCUGGAUAGAGUGCUGUGGUGUCACAGCUCAGAGCAACCUCAAACUCUUGGGCUUAAGCGAUUCUCUUGCCUCAGCCUCCCAAGUAGCUGGGACUAUAGGCACCCACCACAACGCCCGGCUAUUUUUUGGUUGUAGUUGUCAUUGUUGUUUGGUGGGCCCAGGCUAGAUUCAAACCCGCUAGCUCCAGUGUAUGUGGCUGGUGCCCUAGUCGCUUGAGCUACAGGCACCGAGCCAGCCACAGCCUAUUUUUAUAAGACUUUCUUUGCUUCCCCCAACUGCAUGUAGUCCCUUCUUUCUGCUUAUGUCAUUAAAGCUGGAUUUCCAAGCCAGCCAGUUUCACAGCUUAACAGUGUCCAAGGCCUCACUGGAUCUCUAGGUCCCUUCUCAUUAGUGCUUGGCAGCCUCAUGCUACUAGUUCCUUCUCCAAGUCUUCAACCAUUUUCCUCAGCACUAGGCAGCAACUGGGGUACCACCUGGGCUUUAGCUUAUGCUUAGCCUUCUUUUCUCAAGGUCCCCAAGUAAACUCUGUCCCCCACUCCUCGGGUGGCUGCCUUUAACCUACCUCUUUCUGGGAAGCUUAGCUCCAGCUCCCAGGGCAGAAAGAAAGGAAACCUGAAGUGCUCUCAGAGUACUGGGUCAACCCUCCCUUCUCUCAGGGGGAAAAGCCUUCUAGCAGCAAGGCAGAGGCUAUGAGGAAAGGGCUGCCUAGGGAGGCCCCUAGGGGCCCUCCUUGUGUUCCCUGCAGCCUCCACUCUAAGAAUAUUGUGCACUCAAGACCUCCCAGUCUGCUCUGGGUAUGCAGAGGCCUGCUGGCAGUGGAACUAUCCACUCUUUAAAGCAGACGGUUUCUAGGGGCCAGACAGGAUGCCUUGGGGCCCUAAGAGAGCUGUUGUAGCCAAGCCCUCAGAGAGUGCUGAGGGGUCUUCCCCAGCAUGAAGGAGGCCUGGCCACCAGCACUAGGUCAGAGCCCUCCUAUGUUCUCCCACAGCUUUCCUUGGCUCUGGCCUCCUUGCAUGACUGCGGCUGUGUGUCCUCACUGCUCUUCUUGCUUCCUGUCCCCUUUUUCCACAGUCUCCAUGAUGCAGCUAUUAACCAUUCUGACGAAGCUCUGAUUAACCGAGCUCUGGCUAACUCUAUACCUGUUCAAAACUCAGCAGCUCCAAGACCCUCGAAGUCAUCAACACCUUUGCCUAACAUCUGAGAGCCUUGUAGACAGGCCCUUGCCCUUUCCUGAUCCUCCUGCCCUGCCCUGCCUUUAUGUACCAAUAGCUUCUACUAAUGCAGACUCAACCCAUGCUCCCUGCCUACACAUAUGGGCACAUGUUGUGCACGCUCUCUUCUGUGCUCUUGUCCCAUCUCCUCGUGUGUCUUGUUUGAAUUUCAAGGGCCGGGCGGUGCCUAUGGCUCAGUGAGUAGGGCUCCAGCCCCAUAUGCCAAGGGUGGCAGGUUCAAACCCAGCCCCGGCCAAACUGCAA